CGUUAUGUAGCUUAAUUAAAGCAUCUCGCUUACACCGAGAAAAUGUCCGUGAAAACCAGACCGUCACGA
rnacentral:tRNA from 1 species